UACGUAGGGGUGCAAGCGUUGUCCGGAAUUAUUGGGCGUAAAGAGCUCGUAGGCGGUUUGUCGCGUCUGCUGUGAAAAACCCGAGGCUCAACCUCGGGCCUGCAGUGGGUACGGGGCAGACUAGAGUGCGGUAGGGGGAGAUUGGAAUUCCUGGUGUAGCGGUGGAAUGCGCAGAUAUCAGGAGGAACACCAAUGGCGAAGGAGAUCUCUGGGCCGUAACUGACGCUGAGGAGCGAAAGCAUGGGGAGCGAACAGG
rnacentral:rRNA from 1 species